rnacentral:rRNA from 1 species
GUGUAAAAUUAGCUUGCAUGUCCAAGUACAGACCUUAAAACGGUGAAACCGCGAAUGGCUCAUUAAAUCAGCUAUGGUUCCUUAGAUCGUACAUGCUACAUGGAUAACUGUAGUAAUUCUAGAGCUAAUACAUGCCACUAUGCCCUGACCCGCAAGGGAACGGGUGGAUUUAUUAGAACAGAACCAACCGGGGAGGGCUUCGGUCGUUCCUGUUGAACUCUGUGAUGACUCUGGAUAACUUUACUGAUCGCAGUCGGCCUUGUGUCGGCGACGGAUCUUUCAAAUGUCUGCCCUAUCAACUUUCGAUGGUAGGUGAACCUGGGAAAGGAUCAAUGAACCUGUAGUAAUGAUCACGUCAGGAUGGUUCCUCUUGAUGAAUGUCGGGAGCGUGCUCUGAAACUUCCCUGCCCUUUGUACACUCCGCCCAUCACUAAAACCCAUUGAAUGGUCUAGGGUGAGGGAAUCCCCCUUGCUACUGUUUUAGGGGGCUACGUCACUUGACUGGUGUCGAGAAAGAUGACCAGACUUGAUCAUUUAGAGGAAGUAAAAUCCUAACAAGGUUUCCGUAGGUGAACCUGCAAAAGGAUCAA